rnacentral:rRNA from 1 species
AGGUUGAGUGUGGCUCACGAUGAACGCUGACAGAUACUGCUUAACACAUGACAAAUGCAACUUGAAUUUGGGUUUUUAACUUAUGUUUGGGUGGCGGACGGGUGAGUAACGCGUAAAGAACUUGCCUCACAGUUAGGGACAACAUUUGGAAACAAAUGCUAAUACCUAAUAUUAUGAUAAUAGGGCAUCCUAUAAUUAUGAAAGCUAUAAGCGCUGUGAGAGAGCUUUGCGUCCCAUUAGCUAGUUGGACAGGUAACGGCUCACCAAGGCGAUGAUGGGUAGCCGGCCUGAGAGGGUGAUCGGCCACGAGGGGACUGAGACACGGCCCUUACUCCUACGGGAGGCAGCAGUGGGGAAUAUUGGACAAUGGACCAGGAGUCUGAUCCAGCAAUUCUGUGUGCACGAUGAAGUUUUUCGGAAUGUAAAGUGCUUUCAGUUGGGAAGAAAGAAAUGACGGUACCAACAGAAGAAGUGACGGCUAAAUACGUGCCAGCAGCCGCGGUAAUACGUAUGUCACGAGCGUUAUCCGGAUUUAUUGGGCGUAAAGCGCGUCUAGGUGGUUAUGUAAGUCUGAUGUGAAAAUGCAGGGCUCAACUCUGUAUUGCGUUGGAAACUGUAUAACUAGAGUACUGGAGAGGUAAGCGGAACUACAAGUGUAGAGGUGAAAUUCGUAGAUAUUUGUACGAAUGCCGAUGGGGAAGCCAGCUUACUGGACAGAUACUGACGCUGAAGCGCGAAAGCGUGGGUAGCAAACAGGAUUACAUACCCUGGUAGUCCACGCCGUAAACGAUGAUUACUAGGUGUUGCGGGGUCGAACCUCAGCGCCCAAGCAAACGCGCUAAGUAAUCCGCCUGGGGAGUACGUACGCACGUAUGAAACUCAAAGGAAUUGACGGGGACCCGCACACGCGGUGCAGCAUGUGGUUUAAUUUGACGCAACGCGAGGAACCCUACCAGCGUUCGACAUCUUAGGAGUGAGAUAGAGAUAUUUCAGUGUCCCUUCGGGGAAACCUAAAGCCAGGUGGUGCAUGGCGGUCGUCAGCUCGUGUCGUGAGAUGUUGGGUUAAGUCCCGCAACGAGCGCACACCCCUUUCGUAUGUUACCAUCAUUAAGUUGGGGACUCAUGCGAUACUGCCUACGAUGACUCGGAGGAAGGUGGGGAUGACGUCAAGUCAUCAUGCCCCUUAUACGCUGGGCUACACACGUGCUACAAUGGGUAGAACAGAGAGUUGCAAAGCUGUGAAGUGGAGCUAAUCUCAGAAAACUAUUCUUAGUUCGGAUUGUACUCUGCAACUCGACUCCAUGAAGUUGGAAUCGCUAGUAAUCGCGAAUCAGCAAUGUCGCGGUGAAUACGUUCUCGGGUCUUGCACACACCGCCCGUC